GACGAACGCUGGCGGCGUGCCUAACACAUGCAAGUCGUACGAGAAAGCCGGCUUCGGCUGGUGAGUAAAGUGGCGCACGGGUGAGUAACGCGUGGAUAAUCUGCCCUUAAGUGUGGAAUAACGUACCGAAAGGUGCGCUAAUACCGCAUAAUGCCUGGCAACACAAGUUGUCCGGCCAAAGAAGGCCUCUGUUUACAAGCUUUCGCUUCAGGAUGAGUCCGCGUACCAUUAGCUUGUUGGUGGGGUAAUGGCCUACCAAGGCUGCGAUGGUUAGCUGGUCUGAGAGGAUGAUCAGCCACACUGGAACUGAGACACGGUCCAGACUCCUACGGGAGGCAGCAGUGGGGAAUUUUGGACAAUGGGCGCAAGCCUGAUCCAGCCAUGCCGCGUGCAGGAUGAAGGCCUUCGGGUUGUAAACUGCUUUGUACGAACGAAAGACUCUUCUAAUAAGAGGUCAUGACGGUACCGUAAGAUAAGCACCGGCUAACUACGUACG
rnacentral:rRNA from 1 species